AAGUUGCGACUGUUUAACAAAAACAUUUCUUUUUUAAAAAAUAAAAAGUAUAGCCUGCCCACUGAAUUUUAAAGGGCCGCGGUAUUAUGACCGUGCAAAGGUAGCAUAAUCAUUAGCCUUUUAAUUAAAGGAUUGUAUGAAUGGUUGAACGUAGCUU
rfam:Folsomia candida strain VT population Fcan01_Sc005, whole genome shotgun sequence.